GAUGAACGCUGGCGGCGUGCCUAAUACAUGCAAGUCGAGCGAACGGACGAGAAGCUUGCUUUUCUGAUGUUAGCGGCGGACGGGUGAGUAACACGUGGAUAACCUACCUAUAUGACUGGGAUAACUUCGGGAAACCGGAGCUAAUACCGGAUAAUAUUUUGAACCGCAUGGUUCAAAAGUGAAAGACGGUGUUGCUGUCACUAAUAGAUGGAUCUCGGCUGCAUUAGCUAGUUGGUAAGUUAACGGCUUACCAAGGCAACGAUGCAUAGCCGACCUGGGAGGGUGAUCGGCCACCUGGGAACUGGACCACGGACCAGACUCCUACGAGAGGCAGCAGUAGGGAAUCUGCCGCAACGGGGGAAAGCCUGACGGAGCAAGGCGACGUGAGUGAUGAAGGUGUUGGGUGCGUAAAACCCUGUUAUGAGGGAAAAACAUAUGUGUAAGUAACUGUGCACAUCUUGACGGUAACUAAUCAGAAAGCCACGGCUAACUACGUG
rnacentral:rRNA from 1 species